rnacentral:rRNA from 1 species
UGAGUAACCUGCCCUUAACUUCGGGAUAAGCCUGGGAAACCGGGUCUAAUACCGGAUACAACGGACCACCGCAUGGCGGUCCGUGGAAAGCUUUAUGCGGUUUUGGAUGGACUCGCGGCCUAUCAGCUUGUUGGUGAGGUAAUGGCUCACCAAGGCGACGACGGGUAGCCGGCCUGAGAGGGCGAUCGGCCACACUGGGACUGAGACACGGCCCAGACUCCUACGGGAGGCAG